rnacentral:lncRNA from 1 species
AUUCACAAAUUAAAGUUAAGAUUCUGGAAGUUCAGUUAAAUACUGAAAAGCUCCGUAGAACUUGUUCUGUUAGUUGAGCUGCUGAAUAUAUAGUUGGUACGCAGCAAAUGUGUUUUAGUGCAAAAGCCAAUGCUGUUUGUUUUAGGAAAGAAAAUGUUAGACAUUCUGUUCCUGAGAUGGAAGAUGUUUACGCACCAAAUGCAGCAUUUGCUCCAAUUGUUCCCGCAAGAAUUGAGGCAAAGCACUUUUUCAGCUCAGAUGAGCGCGUGCUGGAACACCCGUGUUCAGGCAGGAGCGCGGUACCUGCCGUGGUCUGCUUCUAACCCUGUCCUGCUGUGAGUGCCUCUCUGCCAUACACAGUAGCAUAUGUGAAGUCUUCCAGUGGCCAAAGUCUACAGUGCAGUCAGUGAACAGUGAUGUCCAUUCAUCCACUCACUCAGUGCUGAAACAGGUAAUACUAAACAUUUUCUGUCAUAAGCCUAUCAAAGAUAUGAGGUGUUGAAGCUUUUGUGUAGCUUUAAAACAUAGUGAGCUAUAUCUUAAUAGGAUUGGUUUAUGAGCUUGAAAUUUAGAGAUUUCUAAGACACUGCUGAGAAAUCUCCAGGCUUUGCAGCUGUCGCCUGCACUUCCAGUCCUGUUCCAUAAAGCAGCUUCUCUUCACCUGCGGUGUAUUUUCAUGCACGGCCGAUGUGUGCAGCUCCACCCCCUGCACUGUUCUGAAACAUCUGCUUUAGAGCUCUCUUAGAGUGGGUAACUCUGGUCUGCUUGAAAUAGGUGAUGCUCCCUGUGCUGGGAUGACUGUAUUAUGCAGGGGAACACAGGACCAUGAGAUGCAGCACAAGAGAAAUGACUCUGAAAUUAAUGACGUGCAGUGGCCAAUAAUAGGUUCCUCGCUCUGAAGCUAUUUCGCAAGAGAUAAUGAUGGGGGGAAGGAAAAGCGAUACCAAUUAUAUUUUUCAAAUGAAUAUUAAUUGUGA